CUUCAACUUGCAGGGCAGAGAGGAAGACUCACAUGAACAGCAGCAGGACCAACUCAGACACUGGCCAGGGCCAUCAGUGGGCCUACAGGAUUAAACUGCUGCCUCUUCCUCCUUGAUGCUUGCUCUUCCAGAGCCCAUUCUCAAGAGCUACUGAAAAUGACUCCAGAGUCAUUUCAAGUGUCAUUUCGGGUCCAGAGACAGUGUGGAGCCAUUUUAUGUCACUUAAAAAAAAAAAAAAAUCCCCACGAUUUUUUCAACAAAAAUAUCGGAGGAAUUGAGGUUGGCAUUGAGGCAUUGCUGGAGAGCAAGCAAUGAAGGAACGAUCCCCCAUGUUUAUUCAUGAGGACUACGUGUGGAACACCACCAGAAGCUGAAGAAAAGUGAGACUUCACUGCCUCACAUAGAGGCUUAUCAGCACACCAUAGAACACUGAGUGGCAGUAUUAUAUAAAACAAAAUAUCGAGAGAGCGAGAGAAUACACACACACACCCCUUUCCAGCAUUUUCACGCUGAAUUUAAUAGAUAUGAAUUCUUCAGCACUUCCAAGUGUGGGAAGGACUACGUUUCAGAAGUGAAGGAAUAGGUGAAAUUUUAGAACAUUAUUGGGCCAGAUCUCUACACUACUAAGCCAAGAGUUUAACUAUCUUCUUCAAAGACUUAAUGAAUGCAGCUAUAAUCUCUGAACUUAAAGUUGCUAAGCAGCUGUGUAGCUGCUUUAAAGAUGAAGAUCCCUUUGGCUCAAUGCUACACCAUGUGUACAUCAUUUGUCUAAUGCUAUGUACACUUGCAAUUAUUAAGUUCUAGCAUACAAAGUAUGCAACAAAGUAGAAUGAACGUGAAGCUAUUAAAUGGGGCAUUCAGAUAUGAUAGUUUCCUACUUUGUAUUAAAUCAGCAAAAGCAGAAGUUCAUGUGAGAAAUCUAGAUGCA